CAGAGUAUCCUUUAACCUUGCUUAGUUUAACCAAAUGAACUAAAACUCAAAAAUGUCACAACUUUUUAAAAAAUUAGUUCAUUUGUUUGAACUAAGAAGGGUCAAAGGAUAACCUG
rfam:Brachypodium distachyon strain Bd21 chromosome 4, whole genome shotgun sequence.